rnacentral:lncRNA from 1 species
AAACAGUGAUCAGAAUCCAUCAAAAAGCCUGAAAAACAGAGUGAUGAAGAGAAUAAAUAAGGAAUCUGCCUGAAAACAGUACCUGAAAGUUCUCUACUAAGCUCUGUUUUCGCUUUCUCCAGAAUUUUUUCCUUUUCCCACUUUUUUUUGUUCUCCCAACUCUCACCCUCACCUGCUAAAAAAAGACUCUUCCUCUCUCUCACUCCUUUCUUCCCGUUUUUCUGUUUCUCUCCCCAAACAAUCCCCAUUUUGCUUUGGAACUCAAAAUCUCUAUAUCACUUCCUCUGGCUUUUCUCUUUCCGUCCGAUCUGGCCGCCAAAACAGCUCACCCAUGCUCUGUUUUCCUUUCACUUCCGGUCCCAUUUGGCCGCCCAAAAAAC